rnacentral:rRNA from 1 species
AGUGAACGCUGGCGGCAGGCCUAACACAUGCAAGUCGAGCGGCAGCGCGGGGGCAACCCUGGCGGCGAGCGGCGGACGGGUGAGGAAUUCGUCGGAAUCUGCCUUUUUGUGGGGGAUAACGUAGGGAAACUUACGCUAAUACCGCAUACGACCUACGGGUGAAGGUGGGGGACCGCAAGGCCUCACGCAGAAAGAUGAGCCGACGACCGAUUAGCUAGUUGGUGGGGUAAAGGCCCACCAAGGCGACGAUCGGUAGCUGGUCUGAGAGGAUGAUCAGCCACACUGGGACGGAGACACGGCCCAGACUCCUACGGGAGGCAGCAGUGGGGAAUAUUGGACAAUGGGCGCAAGCCUGAUCCAGCCAUGCCGCGUGUGUGAAGAAGGCCUUCGGGUUGUAAAGCACUUUUGUCCGGAAAGAAAUCUUCCAACUUAAUACGUUGGGAGGAUGACGGUACCGGAAGAAUAAGCACCGGCUAACUUCGUGCCAGCCGCCGCCGUAA